CUGGUAUAUGAUGGGGAGAGAUCCCAUUCAGCUAUGCGCUCUUGUUCAUCCAUCAUAAAUAUGUAUUUUUCUUUCUCUUGAAUAAUCUUUUGUGAUUUUGUAAUUUGCUUGUUGAUGAUAUCUUACUAUUGAAUUAAUCUAGAUUUCUUUCAUAACUCAUGCAAGGAUCUAGUUAGGGUUUUCAUGAUCCAAGCCAAGGAAACAAUUAUAAUAUUCACUACUUCGACUCUAGAGGAGAAUACCUUUUAGUGUUUUACAUAAUAUUCAAAUGUACAAGUUGAAAACUGGACUUCUUCAACGAGAGCUACCAAUAAUUGUGCACCUAUGAAGUUUGGAGAAACGUACGUAAAUUGCCUCACUACAUGACAAUGAAAAUAAAGAAAAGUGGUAAAAUUAUUCAAGAGGCUGUA